AGGAAUUGUCAGCUGAUACUGGUCAAAAAAAUGGGCUGAUGGUACUUUGGUUUUGGCUGGCUUUUGCUAUAAUAAAUGUCUUUAUCCUCAUCAUGCCAAUAGACCAGGAUCCAGGUUAACACACACUUAAUUGACCCUGGCUCAUUACCUGCUUACAUGGGGAAAUAGCAACAGAUUUAGAAUAUGUAAUUAAAUACCGAAAUUUGGUAGCAAGUUAAUUAACAUAUAACAUUGCCUUCCCUAACAAACACUUCUUAAGACAGGGUAGGCAAGGCAACAUUAAUUGUAACAAUUAUUUAGGAUUUAAACAGAUAAUAGGUACAGCUGCUAACAUUAAAACCCAAUUAUGCCAAGCACUUUAAUGAUGUAAGAAAAAAAAUGAAGGGUGGUGGGAAGUACAAGGUGGGAGAGUGGCUUUGGUCUCCCUGAGACCUUUAUAAGGAACCAGUCUGUAGGGUGGUUGUGAUGCUGCCUCACUUUGCUUGUAUGGAGGAUGGCUGUUGGGUCUUCAUGUGGUCUCUGCAAGAGAUGGAGAUCUACUCAAGACAAAGCAAGGUCAGGGGUGAGAACACCUUUGCUGGGGAGAAGAAAGGACAUACAGAUAAAUAUCUCUUCCUCUUAACACAGAUGCAGCCGGAGGAACUUAGGCCCUGGGAGACAGAAGAGUGCUGACAAGAGGCCAGAGACAGUUCACAAGAAGAGAGAAAUGGAUAGAAAAACUUUGUGUGAGAUCAGCAAAUGAAAAGUCAACCACUUGACCUUCUCUGAACUUAUUUUAAAUCUAUCAGGCAUGGAGAAAAUUGAGACCAUAACUCAGGAUGCUCCUGUUGGUCGCAUUGCCAUUUCCAUUACUCUGGGCUGUUUGUCUUAAUUGAGAUGGAGCCUAUCCUAUGACUAAUUGUCAGGUCACACUGGCUCUAAAUUAAAGAGUAUAUUUUUACUUUUUAACAACUU